UUAUCGUAUAAACUUGAACAGGCUGUUGCUGGCUCUCGGGCUCGUGCACGCUUGUCUCAUCUUUGUUAUUUCUCCAACUGUGCACAUUUUGUAGAUCCCCCCUGUUAUGAAUUCACGUUCGAGUCGGGACUGCUGCUGCUUUUCUUUGAGAGGCCGGCUUUUCCUUGCAUCGGGGUUCUAUGUCAUUUUUCACAAACCUCUCAAAUGUGUUUAGAAUGUAAUCGUUGAUAUAAAAAAAUAUACAACUUUCAGCAACGGAUCUCUUGGCUCUCGCAUCGAUGAAGAACGCAGCGAAAUGCGAUAAGUAAUGUGAAUUGCAGAAUUCAGUGAAUCAUCGAAUCUUUGAACGCAUCUUGCGCUCCUUGGUAUUCCGAGGAGCAUGCCUGUUUGAGUGUCAUUUAACUUAUCAACCAUGUUCAUUGUCUGAACGUGGCUUGGAUGUGGAGGUUCUUUGCAGGCUUUUUCCAUCUCGAAAAGGGUCGGCUCCUCUGAAAUGUAUUAGUGGCAUCUGAGCUGCUACUAUAGGUGUGAUAACUAUCUAUGCCUUUGGUGGACUGCAUGAACAGAUUGCGCUGCUUAUAACAAAUCUUUUUUAUGACAAACUUGACCUCAAAUCAGGUAGGACUACCCGCUGAACUUAAGCAUAUCAAUAAGCGGAGGAAAAGAAACUAACAAGGAUUCCCCUAGUAACUGCGAGUGAAGCGGGAAAAGCUCAAAUUUGAAAUCUGGCGGUUCCUUGGACUGUCCGAGUUGUAAUCUAGAGAAGUGUUACCUGUGCUGGACCGUGUACAAGUCUCCUGGAAUGGAGCAUCACAGAGGGUGAGAAUCCCGUCUUUGACACGGACUGCCAUGUGCGAUAUGGUGCGCUCUCGAAGAGUCGAGUUGUUUGGGAAUGCAGCUCAAAAUGGGUGGUAAAUGCCAUCUAAAGCUAAAUAUUGGCGAGAGACCGAUAGCGAACAAGUACCGUGAGGGAAAGA
rnacentral:rRNA from 1 species